AGAUCCGCUCCGUGGAGCUACCACUGUAGCUCCAGCUCUCGCGCUCUCACAUCGGCUGCUCAACGGCCGACUUCGACAUCGACUUCGGCAAACGGCAAUGACAGUGUAGCCGAGCCUCGUACUUUACAUUCUGCCGCUGCCUUAGUAGGUCAACAAAAUUCCGGACAAUGGCCUUUCGCUUUCGUCGGCGACUGCGGCGUCGGCGUCGGCAACGACGCUGGCAGCGCUGCAGCUGGCAGAGCUUCAAAAUGUAAAUAGAAGCUAUGAAGCUAAGGCAGGCGCUUGCUGGCGCCCACCCAACCACCUCCCCAUGCAGCGCCCCAUUCACCCUUCGAUUUGGCGAUGGCGUCGCGACGAUGAACAUGAAGAUAUUUCAGUCGUCGCCGCAGCUGCAGUUGUUGUUUUUGUUUCCUUCGAUGGCGUAAUAUGUACUACAUAUACGUAUUAACGGGCAUAUAGUCGAAAUUCCCCAACUUCCCCAAGUCCGUGUAACUUGAGACACUAAUAGUGCUUAUAACUAUACACAUGCAUACUGAAUGGCACACAGCAAUCCCCAGGGCACCAAGCCGUCUAAAAGUAUGCAAUGCACAAAAACGUCCUGCUGCAAGACAUUCAAGCAGUGCGCACUUUUAAGUAGCCCUUUGAAAAGCCGCUAGCAUAUUGCCACAUAGCCCACCUCGGAAGCACUUUGAGCAACCCUAGAUUUUAACACCUGUCCUUUGCUUCAAUUCCCACUGAAUUUGGUCACUCAUCGAGUUAGCCAUGAUAUUAGGAAUCAGUGUCAUUGCCUGAAACUCAGCCAGUCACAUCAGUUCGAUCCAAAACCCACAGUGUUCAGACCUCCCAGACCGCCCCCCGGAGCAAGUGAAAAAGUGAACAACACGAAACGAGAAGCACCGAGCGGAAACCCCUCAGGUUGUUGCCACAGACUCGCCACUUAUAACACGAUGCCCAGGCCGCAUGCAUAUCGUAGGGCGCGCAACAGAGGAUCUGGCGAUACCGACGUGUCCGCCAUUUCGCAAGAGAUGGACGAGAUGCCCUCACGUUUCAGCUCCACAUCACCAGAUAGCGAAGAUUCGCGCGAACAGAGCACAAGCACUGCCUCCACUGAGGAGGAUGAGAGCCCCUAUCGCCAGAGCCUUCGCCGCGAAAAAAGCAUAUUGGCCUCAUCGCCGCUGUCCAUGGAAUAGCGUUUCCAUAAGCAGAUGAACAGAACCAAGAAGAGCACGAUCACCACGAAUUUGAAAAUGUUGUUGCUUUAUCUGUGACUUGUCCUGGUGCCAGUCAUCUUGGAGAUGGGCCCGCAAAUCGAGUUCCCAGUGCAAUGGAAGAAGGGGAAAAGUGUUUUCCACAUCGUCAAGCAUCGUUGCAUGGCCUUGACCUUUACCGUCAACACUUACCGGGUGCUGAUCGGCUCCUUCCUGGCAGCUAUCGUGCCGCUGUACAGCAUGCUCUGCAUGGCGCACCCGAAUAGCUUUCUUCUCUGUGUUCCGAACGCCUAAGGCCACAUAAUUAAGGUACCCGACAACGUGGGCGUGUACUUCUUGGGCCUCUUGCCCUAUGUGCAAUCCGCCUGCAAUACGGAUUUUACGUGCUUGCCAAGGACACCUGGUUCGCCUACAACGAUCAAGUGCUGGCCACAGCCGAUACUUUCAACACCUGGCGCGUGCUCAUCUACAUGAAUCAGGUCAUCCAGCUCGUCUACUCAUUCGAGGGACUGCAGAGUUUCCUGCAGGCCCUCCGCACCUACAAGCUAGUCGCCGGAACAGACAACCAUCGCGUGUCUCAGCUGGAAGGGAACAUGUCAAAAUUCUGGUACAUCCCCAGCGUGAGCACCUUGGAUGUUUACCGUGCCUUCGAGGAACGUGCAUUUGGACCAAAUCCCCAUUAGCCACAAGCCCCCAAUCACAAGUCCUGCCAGCUGACCAAUCUGACCAACACAACCACUACGAAAUGAUCGGUGCACAAUCAAUGGAUUCUUUGGCUUGGAAAACUAAGAAAAAAAGCAAAAC